rnacentral:rRNA from 1 species
UACGUAGGGGGCAAGCGUUGUCCGGAAUCAUUGGGCGUAAAGAGCGCGUAGGCGGUCCGGUAAGUCGGGUGUGAAACCCUCAGGCUCAACCUGGGGACGCCACUCGAUACUGCUGUGGCUAGAGUCCAGUAGAGGAGUGUGGAAUUCCCGGUGUAGCGGUGAAAUGCGCAGAUAUCGGGAGGAACACCAACGGCGAAGGCAGCACUCUGGGCUGGAACUGACGCUGAGGAGCGAAAAGCGUGGGUAGCAAACAGG